AGUUAUAAUAGACGGAAGAGAAUUUCCAGAAGCCGAAGGUAGAUCAAAGAAGGAAGCAAAAAAUGCCGCAGCCAAAUUAGCUGUUGAGAUACUUAAUAAGGAAAAGAAGGCAGUUAGUCCUUUAUUAUUGACAACAACCAAUUCUUCAGAAGGAUUAUCCAUUGGGAAUUACAUAGGCCUUAUCAAUAGAAUUGCCCAGAAGAAAAGACUAACUGUAAAUUAUGAACAGUGUGCAUCGGGGGUGCAUGGGCUAGAAGGAUUUCAUUAUAAAUGCAAAAUGGGACAGAAAGAAUAUAGUAUUGGUACAGGUUCUACUAAACAGGAAGCAAAACAAUUGGCCGCUAAAUUUGCAUAUCUUCAGAUAUUAUCAGAAGAAUCCUCAGUGAAAUCUGACUCCAUGUCCUCUGGUUAUUUUGCUGCUACGUGUGACUCCCAAAGCAACUGUUUAGUGACCAGCACACUUGGUUCUGAAUCAUCAUCUGAAAGUGACUUCUCAGCAGAUACAUCAGAGAUAAAUUCUAACAGUGACAGUUUAAAGAAUUCUUCGUCGCUUAUGAAUGGUCUCAGAAAUAAUCAAAGAAAGGCAAAAAGGUGAGUAUCAUUAUGCAUUGAACAUAUUUUGAUCUGAAGUUUUAUUUCAGACUUAUUUAUUGUUUUUAAUACUUGUAGAGUAUUGUACACCCUUAUUUGAGCAGAGUUUCAGAAGCAGAAAUCUUGAAAUCUAUAAACAAAUAAUUUUAGAUGUGUCGAGAAAUCUUUGAAUAUAUGCACAUGCUACACUGUAAACAUAAAGCCCUAUGGGGGUAUCGCUAGAGUAAUUAGGUUAAGGGCAUUAUUUUGUACAA
rnacentral:sRNA from 1 species